AGCAACAUGUGAAGGGAGAGAAGAGAGAGAGUGUGGCAUUUGGAGCACGGAUACGCAAUGUGAGAAGAAAACAGUGAGAAGAAAGUGAAAUCCCUAAUCCCAAUUUUUCUCCUCCGCCGAAUGUGAUGCUGUGAAUGAUUAUCCUUGCAGGUUUCUUUUGUUUUCCGCCAUUAACUAUUAUAAGUCUGUGUUGUUCCUGCCAUCAAAAUUCAAAUAAUUAUUAUAAAAUGUGAUGUUGCGACUGUGUUGUUUUUGUUCCCUGAUUCAAAUAAUUUUACUCGAAUGUCGAUUCCCAAUUCGCAAAUGUGAGUGAUGAUGCUAAUGUUUAUGCUUGCAAGUUUCUUUUUGUUUUCCGCCAUUAAUUAUUAUAAAUUUGUGUUGUUCCCUGCCAUCAAAAUUCAAAUAAUUAUUAUAAAAUGUGAUUUUGCGAAUGUGUUGUUUUUGUUCCUUGAUUCAAAUAAUUUUAAUUGAAAUAGAUUAUUGGUUUGUUUUAUUAUUGUUCCUGUUACACAAGAUUGGUACCUACCAUGCAUCACUGAACAACGAGUAAAUUAUUAGUCAAGCUAGAGUGUGUACGAUUUAUGAAUCAAGUGCUGAGAAGUGUUAGGUCGAUAACUAGUUGAGACCCAUUGUUUUCUGUUUAAUUACCAAUAAUAUAUAUGAUGUAAAAAACCAUGAUUGUGAAUUAUAGCCAAUUGUAUUUGCAUUAACUACAUUUUUCUACCGUUUUCUGUAAUUUUUGUAAUAAUCUCAUUAAUCCGCUGUCAAGUGUCCCAAAGUACAACUUAAGGAAUCAGUAAAUCGAAAAAAAUUAUUAGAAAGUGAGUCCAUUGAAUAUCAUCAAUUCAUCAUGUAAGAGUGUACUUCUUUUGCAGGUAGGAAGAGUGAUAUUUUAGUUUUUUUAAUAUAAUAUCAAUUACAUUUUUCAUUUAAAUUUUAAUAAUAGAUUUUAGAAGAUUGUCGUGUUAUCUCCUUUUAAACAAAGACCAAUAAAGACAUUGUUUUUAUAAAAUUAUUUUAAAAAAAUUCAUUUAUUUGUUAACUUUAUUGGUCUUCAAAAAAUACUUAUCCUCUAUUCUAUUCUCAUUUAUAAGAAGAAAAAAAAUGGAUUUCUCACAUAUUAAGGCACAGCUAAUACUAAAGAGUCCUGUAUAAUUAAUUUUAAUUAAGUAUAAAAUUCAACCUACCAAUGCCUCCUGGUACAGAAACAGCCUUGUUCUCAAGGUCAGAAUGAAAAAACUGUCACUUUCCAGAUAAGGUUUGGAUUUUGUUUCACCAAUUCAAUCCCCUUGAAAUCUCCUUACUUGAACAUGUUUUAAUGCAGGUUGGAAAAGCGUAAUUUGAGCUAGUUGAUCAUUUGGAAAAGCGUAAUUUGGAAAAGCCUUGUUCUGGGCUCCUAGGCUAAUGUUACACCUAGAAUAUGUUUGAGCCUAUUUUUUCUCUUAUACGUAGCUACAGGCUAAAAAUUCAGGGAAGAAGCUAAUAAACCAUGUAUUGCUAAAAUGAAUACUUUUUUUGUUGGUUGUCAUCUACAAAAUUACAUAGGAAACCUGGAUGUUGAUGUGUGGCACCUAGAAUAUCCUUGUAUUUCUUUAGCUUCUUCCUCCCACUUCAAGUUUAAAAUUUUAAAUGCUUACUUGCAUUACAAACUGACUUAUUUCUGGUGCAACAUUUAAAGGAAGAUAUGAAAUUGAGUUACCUGGCUUAGGAACUGAUUUCAACUGAUCGCUUAGCUCCUCAAUCUUGGUAGUGUUACGUUGAACUUCAUUUUAAUUCUGUGUAAAAUUUUCUCUUUUCAACUGACAUUUCUUCUUAGAGGUCUUUUUUAUGUACUAUAUUUUUUUCCAGAUGGCUUAAAAUUGCAUCAUUUUGUGUGUGGUGUGUGCAUGUGUUCACAUACACUCUGACCUAAACUGUCUCAUGUUUCCAAAACGUGUACAUUUUUCAACUGUCUCAUGUCUCAUUGGCAACUUAUAGUUAUCUGUCCUAUGGAGAAUAGAUCUUUAUGCUUUUGUUAAAUGUAUAAACCUCCCCCUGCAGACUUCAAACAGUUAUUAGAUAAGACCAUGGAAGGAUAUCAUAUACUUAGGGGUUCAAAGUCGAAGAAAAAAGUGUAGUGGUUAUUUGUUAAAUCUCAUAAACAAAUAGGAAACUAUGAGUGCAAAUACUAUGUAAUGAAGGCAAUGCAUACUAUUGUUAAUUCACAAAUAGUAUCUGGGUGGACUGAAAUAUUUAUAGAUCGAUCACCAUUGUCAUCAGAAGACAUCAACAUCAUUAGGGAGCAAUGGACUACAUUUUUCAUUAAAACACUAACUAGUUAGGACUUAUUCUUUAUGAAAUACUUAUUAUGUACUUAUUGUGUAUACAUUAUUGUAUUGAAUAAUGUUUCCAAAAAUUUCUCUUGUAUUUUGUAUGUAUUGUGGACUAUUGAAAAUA